rnacentral:tRNA from 1 species
GCCGGGAUGGCGGAACUGGCAGACGCUGGGGACUUAAAAUCCCCUGCCCGGAAGGGCGUCCGGGUUCGAUCCCCGGUCCCGGCA